UCUCCAGUGGCUCAGUGGUAAAGAAUCCGCCUGCAGUGCAGAAGACACAGGUUCGAUCCCUGGGUGGGGAA
rnacentral:tRNA from 1 species